rnacentral:rRNA from 1 species
GUCGAACGAACUCUUCGGAGUUAGUGGCAGACGGGUGAGUAACGCGUGGGAACCUACCUUUAGGUACGGAACAACAGUUGGAAACGACUGCUAAUACCGUAUGAGCCCUAUGGGGGAAAGAUUUAUCGCCUAAGGAUGGGCCCGCGUUGGAUUAGCUAGUUGGUGGGGUAAAGGCCUACCAAGGCGACGAUCCAUAGCUGGUCUGAGAGGAUGAUCAGCCACACUGGGACUGAGACACGGCCCAGACUCCUACGGGAGGCAGCAGUGGGGAAUAUUGGACAAUGGGGGCAACCCUGAUCCAGCCAUGCCGCGUGAGUGAUGAAGGCCCUAGGGUUGUAAAGCUCUUUCAGCGAGGAGGAUAAUGACGUUACUCGCAGAAGAAGCCCCGGCUAACUUCGUGCCAGCAGCCGCGGUAAUACGAAGGGGGCUAGCGUUGUUCGGAAUCACUGGGCGUAAAGCGCACGUAGGCGGACUUUUAAGUCAGGGGUGAAAUCCCGGGGCUCAACCCCGGAACUGCCUUUGAUACUGGAAGUCUUGAGACCGAGAGAGGUGAGUGGAACUCCGAGUGUAGAGGUGAAAUUCGUAGAUAUUCGGAAGAACACCAGUGGCGAAGGCGGCUCACUGGCUCGGUACUGACGCUGAGGUGCGAAAGCGUGGGGAGCAAACAGG